rnacentral:tRNA from 1 species
CCCAGAUUGGUGUAGUGGUAGCACGUCCGGAGUCACCAGAAGAAGCCUACAGAGCGGACGCUGGCCCGUCGAAGGGGCGGAAGCGCCGGGUUCGAAUCUCGGAUCUGGGA